UACGUAGGGGGCAAGCGUUAUCCGGAUUUACUGGGUGUAAAGGGAGCGUAGACGGUGAUGCAAGUCAGAAGUGAAAGCCCGGGGCUCAACUCCGGGACUGCUUUUGAAACUGUGUGACUGGAGUGCAGGAGAGGUAAGCGGAAUUCCUGGCGUAGCGGUGAAAUGCGUAGAUAUAUGGAAGAACACCAGUGGCGAAGGCGGAUUACUGGACGGUAACUGACGGUGAGGCGCGAAAGCGUGGGUAUCGAACAGG
rnacentral:rRNA from 1 species